UACGUAGGGGGCAAGCGUUGUCCGGAUUUAUUGGGCGUAAAGAGCGUGUAGGCGGCCUUGCAAGUCCGUUGUGAAAACUCGAGGCUCAACCUCGAGACGCCGGUGGAAACUGCAAAGCUAGAGUCCGGAAGAGGAGAGUGGAAUUCCUGGUGUAGCGGUGAAAUGCGCAGAUAUCAGGAGGAACACCCGUGGCGAAUGCGGCUCUCUGGGACGGUACUGACGCUGAGACGCGAAAGCGUGGGGAGCAAACAGG
rnacentral:rRNA from 1 species